UGGGUCCCACUUAGCCCUUCCCACUUCUAAGUUGUUACUUUUCGUUGUUUGGGGCUUCCUGCACCUAACUUCAUAAGUUGAUGCAGGUUCCAAGGACGAUUUCACAUCCAGGGACCGGCGGGGGGGGCACACCAGAAGCCUCACACGGAUGGGAAAUGAGAUUACACAUUUACUAUAAGGAAAAAUCUGUCGCACGGUCAUUCAGCAGAGCAUUUAUCAGCAGCACUUCUCCUUCCAGAAGGAUAUCUCUUCGAGAUAUUCAACAGUCUCAUACCACACGAGGGAAUAUUUCAUCUUAUCGGGCGGCAUGGGAACAGCCAGACCCAGAGAGCAGAAGACGAAUACAGGGCUACCAACACCGUCCUGAAAAAAGCAGGACGUGACUCACCUGAUUACGGGAGCCAAGAAGUCCCACAAUCUGCCGUGUGCAAACGGAAGCCGAGGAAAGAGGGUGGCGUCGCUCCAGUCCACGUGGGGGAGCACGGGGGAGAGCGACGACGGUGUAAGACCUCGCCCAAGGGCAGGAGAAGACCGACAUUCCAGCUCAACAGCCAGGCAGAGAGAGUGAGCUCUCCCCUCCUCUGCCUCGGCCUCCCAUCCAGGCCCUCAGUGGACGGGAGGAGGCCCACCCACGCUGCAGAGGGCAAUCAGCUUUACUCCAGACACCUGUUCGAAUGCUACGGUCAUCACGAGCCACCGUCACAGACACACCCAGGAUAACGUCUAACGCUUCCCCGGGCGUCCCGUGACCCAGUCCACCCAACACAUAAAGUCAGUCUGGAGCCACGCUGAGCAUUCUGGGAACACACCGACGUGCCCACGGUCCUGGGACCACGCAGAGAACCACGAACAGACACCCUCGUUCUCGUCCCCACAGCUGUCUCCCAUCAACAGGGCAACGUACCACAGAGCCUGGCAAACGACAGGCCCAGCUGGAGCCGGGGGGAGUCACGGGGCAGGUGUGAUGUGCUAAGAUCCUCCCUAGAAACUGAAAGUGAUCGGAAAGGCUCGCGGGGGCCAUCCUGCUCCAGAGUCCUUAUUCCUAGGAGUUGUGACUUUAUUGUGGUAAAAUACACAUAACUAUAAAACAGACUUUACCACUUUAACCAUUUUCACACGGAUUACACGCAUUCACGGUGUUGUGCAACCAACUCCACUAUCCACCUCUAGAACUUUCUCCAUCUUGCAACACUGAAACUCUAUAUUCUUUACCUCUAACUCUCCCCCCGCCUCCCCCGGGCUCUGAAAACCACCAUUCUGCUCUCUGUCUCCGCGGAUUUGUCUACCCUAGGGAUCCCUUAUAAUCGUGUCCUUUUGUGAAUGGCUUAUUUCACUUUACAUAAUGUCCUCAAGUUCCAUCCGUGUCAUAGCCUGGGUCAGAAUGUCCUUCCUUUUUAAGGCUGAAAAAUAUCCCACUGCACGCGUAGACCGCAUUUUGUUUAUCCCUUCAUCUGCUGGUGUGCAUUUGAGUUGUUUCCACCUUUUAACUAUUAUAAAUGAUGUUGUAACGAA